rfam:Pteropus alecto contig95934, whole genome shotgun sequence.
GUCUAUGGCCAUGCCACUCUGAACAAGACUGAUGUCUGAUCUCGAGAAGCUAAGCAGGGUUGGGCCUGGUUAGCACUUGGAUGGGAAACAACCCAGGAAGACCAGGAACUGUAGGCA